rnacentral:lncRNA from 1 species
GAUGCUGCGCCGCUGCUGUCAAUCUUCUCCGACUCAGAUCCUUGAACGCAUCAAGCCGCUGCCACUUUAGAUUGCUACUUGUCUACUAACGGAAUAUCCUCAUCGUUUGAACAAUACAUCGCCAUGAACUUUGUUCAGGUUUUCCUAAUUAUUAUGGUGGUGAUGCUGGCGCUGGUGAGUGCAGCUCCCCAGCUCGUCACCACCAAGAGGAGGUUCCCUGGAGAGCGUCGGCUGGGGGCCACCAACUACGGCUUUUAUUCUUACGGCAAACGCGGAUUCAGAAAGAAGACGAACUAAUUCUGGGUCUCAAAGGCUUGCUCGAUCCUCGGUGAGCGACCAGAGGGCAGACGCCUCACCCAAAAUUGCAUUAUAUAGCUAGCAGAAAAAGAUUAAAUUUUUUCAAUGAGAACAAUAAUAUAAACUUAUAAAUUGAAUAUUUAAAUGUGUGAUCUAUACUAAUUUAGUAUACAGUCACAUUCAACGUUAUUUCCGGGCCCCGAGCAAGAGGCGACCUGCUAUAUGGACGACUUGGGGACGGAGGACGACGAAGGCGGUGCAUCAGCACGAACUUGAACAUGAACGUCCUAGACUUGGCGUAAGAAGAUAAGCAUCAAUAUGCGGCAAGAAAAGCUAUAUUUGGAACAGAGAAUUUAAGUUGAAAAUAUAAAUUUCUUAAUUACGUGUUAUGUUAAGUUAUAAAUGGCAGGUCACAGAUUAUACGUCUGCUGUCGAUCCCUUGGUAAUAAAUUUAUUACUGUAUAGCUUUAUGAAGUACAAUAAUUGUAAAUGUGCCUAAGCAUACAUCUUCUCAUCCUGUGCAAACACUUAUAUAUCUGCUUUACAUUUGAACGCAAUGUGUAUGAACUCACCGACGAUAACUUCUUUAGUUGAACCUACAAGUUGAUGACCGAUUGAUUGAAACUUUCGAAAUUGUAUCACCAUAUGAACGUGGCCCAACAAUAAUAAACAUGAUAUGAAAUUUCUUCAUCAUAAACAGGUAAAUAGAAAUUAAAAAUCCAUGUAUCAAUAUUUCCUCAAAAAAUACAUGCGUCCUUUAUAGUCAAUUCAUGCGUGAAAUGACUCGCGUUUGUUAUAGCACUUUAUUUAUUUAAAUCUUUAUAAGUAAUCCAUUAAUGUGAGGAAUAAUCUAAGGAAAAUAUUCAAGACAAUUGUAUUUUCCUGUAUAAUAAAAAAUAUAAUGACAUAGUUAAAUCGGUACAAAAGCGACUGAUAAUUCUGUAGAAAGAAAUUUCGUGUUAAUUUAAAAUUAUGAACCAGUGAUUGGAUUAAAACUUGUA